rnacentral:rRNA from 1 species
ACCAGCACCCCGAGUGGUCGGGACGAUUAUUGGGCCUAAAGCAUCCGUAGCCGGUUCUACAAGUCUUCCGUUAAAUCCAUCUGCUUAACAGAUGGGCUGCGGAGGAUACUAUGGAGCUAGGAGGCGGGAGAGGCAAGCGGUACUUAGUGGGUAGGGGUAAAAUCCGUUGAUCCACUGAAGACCACCAGUGGCGAAGGCGGCUUGCCAGAACGCGCUCGACGGUGAGGGAUGAAAGCUGGGGGAGCAAACCGGA